GCUCAUUUCAGCAGCACAUACUAAAAUAGGAACCAUACAGAGGUUAGCAUGACUCUCGUGCAAAGAUGGCACGCAAAUUUGUGAAGUUGUUCCAUGUUUUU
rnacentral:snRNA from 1 species